rnacentral:rRNA from 1 species
AACGAACGCUGGCGGCAUGCCUAACACAUGCAAGUCGAACGAGACCUUCGGGCCUAGUGGCGCACGGGUGCGUAACGCGUGGGAACCUGCCCUUAGGUUCAGAAUAACUCCCCGAAAGGGGUGCUAAUACCGGAUAAUGUCUUCGGACCAAAGAUUUAUCGCCUUUGGAUGGGCCCGCGUUGGAUUAGCUAGUUGGUAGGGUAAAAGCCUACCAAGGCGACGAUCCAUAGCUGGUCUGAGAGGAUGACCAGCCACACUGGGACUGAGACACGGCCCAGACUCCUACGGGAGGCAGCAGUGGGGAAUAUUGGACAAUGGGCGAAAGCCUGAUCCAGCAAUGCCGCGUGAGUGAUGAAGGCCUUAGGGUUGUAAAGCUCUUUUACCCGGGAUGAUAAUGACAGUACCGGGAGAAUAAGCUCCGGCUAACUCCGUG